AUUGAACGCUGGCGGCAGGCUUAACACAUGCAAGUCGAGCGGAGUGAUGGUGCUUGCACUAUCACUUAGCGGCGGACGGGUGAGUAAUGCUUAGGAAUCUGCCUAUUAGUGGGGGACAACAUCUCGAAAGGGAUGCUAAUACCGCAUACGUCCUACGGGAGAAAGCAGGGGAUCACUUGUGACCUUGCGCUAAUAGAUGAGCCUAAGUCGGAUUAGCUAGUUGGUGGGGUAAAGGCCUACCAAGGCGACGAUCUGUAGCGGGUCUGAGAGGAUGAUCCGCCACACUGGGACUGAGACACGGCCCAGACUCCUACGGGAGGCAGCAGUGGGGAAUAAUGGACAAUGGGGGGAACCCUGAUCCAGCCAUGCCGCGUGUGUGAAGAAGGCCUUAUGGUUGUAAAGCACUUUAAGCGAGGAGGAGGCUCUUUUGGUUAAUACCCAAGAUGAGUGGACGUUACUCGCAGAAUAAGCACCGGCUAACUCCGUGCCAGCCGCCGCUGUAAGAC
rnacentral:rRNA from 1 species